UGCAGGCGUGGUACAUUCGCAGCAUCUCCUCUCGCUUCAGAGCCUCCUCGGGUGAUUCCUCCAUCAUUUGGGACUGGUGGGAAAAGGCUUUAAGUGUUGUAUCUAAUAAAACUUAUACAGGCACAUUCAACAGUAACAAAGAUAACUAUCCAAAAACCAGUGUUACCUGAUCCCCGGAGGCAUACAGAUGUGCCAGCAGCUCCCCAUUGAUGAAGUCCUUGGCGUUGUUGAUUAUCAUCAGCAUGAUGGUCUUGGGGACGAGGUCCCGGGUUGUCUUGGUCACUAUACGCAUGUAAGAGUCCACCAGGUUACGGAUCGUCUCAACCUGACGCUCCAGCUGAGGGUCCAUACUGCUGGUCACCGAUGUAUCCGAACUCUGGAAUACAUGUUAUUGUAUUAAAACAUAAUAUAGGACACAUUCACAAUGCUGUAGUAUAUUUGGUGUUGGGAACGAAUAAAUACCGGUAGAUUUGUUAGUCUCUGAGUAUGUUAGUGUUGUUUGCUAAAAUGAUAUUUUAUUGAUAGACGAGUUCUAUCAAUUGUGAUUAGUUUUUCGCUUGCACACAUUUAAAAUUUUUAAUAUUAUUGCCACCAUUUUUCUAUUAGAUGUGUUAUCUGUUAGUAUCUUGAUUAAUGAGAUUUUUUAUAUUUUAUGUCCUUAUGUGAUUUAUAUUGAAGUAUGUAAUAUAUAUUUUUUUCAAUCUGUUUAGUUGCAGUCACAUCUCUAUAGUAAAUAAUCAUUUUAUUAUAUAGUCAUAAAUCUCAUGUCACUAAGGUUCAUUAUUCGACCACUAUUAUUGUUUUAAGUUUAUAGACUUAUAUGUUUAAAUAUUAUAUGUGUAUAUAAAAAUUCAAAGAUUUUUUGUUAUUUUAUUUUUUUUCAAAAGAGAAAAUGUAUUAAAUGUUUAAAAUGCCUGCGAAUUUGUUUGUAUUUUAGUGA